rnacentral:rRNA from 1 species
AGCUUUAAACCCAAUUAUAUCUCUAACCACUAUAACCAUUUAACCACUUAGAACUUAUAUACUUGGUUUUAGGUUGGGGCGACCACGGAGCACAACCAAACCUCCACGAUGAACGGAACAACCCCCUUAUCUGAGAAUUACACUUCUAAGAAUUAGCACACUAACAUAAAAUGACCCAUUAUUGAUCAACGAACCAAGUUACCCUGGGGAUAACAGCGCAAUCCAUUUUAAGAGCCCCUAUCGACAAAU